rnacentral:rRNA from 1 species
UACGUAGGUGGCAAGCGUUGUCCGGAUUUACUGGGCGUAAAGAGCGCGCAGGCGGUCGUUCAAGUCGCGUGUGAAAGCCCCCGGCUCAACUGGGGAGGGUCACGCGAUACUGAUCGACUCGAAGGCAGGAGAGGGUAGUGGAAUUCCAGGUGUAGCGGUGAAAUGCGUAGAUAUCUGGAGGAAUACCGGUGGCGAAGGCGGCAUCCUGGACCGGCAUUGACGCUGAGUGAGCGAAAGCCAGGGGAGCAAACGGG